CUUGAUAAACUUAUAAGAGGUCCAGCCUGCCCAGUGACUCUGUUCAACGGCCGCGGUAUCCUAACCGUGCGAAGGUAGCGUAAUCACUUGUUCUUUAAAUGAGGACUAGUAUGAAUGGCACCACGAAGGUUAUACUGUCUCCUUUUUCUAAUCAGUGAAACUAAUCUUCCCGUGAAGAAGCGGGAAUAAAAAUAUAAGACGAGAAGACCCUAUGGAGCUUUAAACAAAUAUACACCUGCCUUCCCACCAAAAAAAUUUCAGCAAACAAAUAAUUACCCAGGCAUUUUGAUAUAGCGUUUUAGGUUGGGGUGACCACGGAGCAAAAAACAACCUCCGCAACGAACGGGAAAAUCUUUCCCUAAACCAAGGGCCACGACCCCAAGUAUCGAUAAAUCGACACUAAUUGACCCA
rnacentral:rRNA from 1 species